rnacentral:lncRNA from 1 species
CCAGAAUGAGGAGAGAAAGACGGACCCUCCUGGAGGGACUGAGGUCGUAGCUGCCCUUCUCUGGGGGAGCAGAACAAGAGUUCCUUCAAGGUGGGGGCUGCAACUGCAAAGAGCACUAAUCAGGAGGAUUAAGAAAUUGAGAUGAUGCUCCCCUCCUCUCCAAAUCCUGACUCCCUCUUCUCUACCACCUCUGGCUGCAGCACCUCACUCAAAGUGAUGAGGACUCUUUUUCGGCUGGUUCUAUUAACCUACAUAUUAUGAUCCAGGACAAUUCUUCAAGACUCAUGACAAAGAAUGUUACUCCUCUCCAAAGAAAGAACUGUUGGGAUCAGAAGACAGAUGAAAUCAUAUGAAUUUUCAGUAGUUUAUUUGGGUUUGUGUUUAGGGGUUUUGGUUUUAUAAAAUUACAUACUUACAAAAAUGACAAUAUGGAAAUGUGUAAAAAUGAUAAUACAUGUAAAACCCAGAUUGAAUUGCCUACCAGUAUCAGAAGGGAGGAGGGGAAGGAAGUAGGGAGAUAAGUUUGAUCAUAUAACUUAGGAAAACUUGUUUGAAAAUUUAUCACAUGUAAUUGAUAAUUUUUUUUAAAAGCAGUGUCCCUUAGUGGAUAGAAUCAGCUUUAUAAUCAGAAAGACCUAGGUUUAAGUUCUGUCUCUGAAAUGUUAGCUACAUGACCCUGGCUAAGUGAUUUACCUUCUUAGAGUCCCAUGUGACUCUCAAGGACUGUAAACUUCACAAUAGUUGCCAGAUCAAAGACCUGCCUAGAUCUCAAUUUCCCCAGCUGUAAAAUGAGGCAGUUGAAAUAAGAGAUAGAAAGGUUCACAGGAGAGAAACUACACACUUUUAUUUAUAUCAAAUUUAAAAGUUUAUGCACAAGCAAAACCAAAGAGGCCCAAAUUGGAAGAGAUGGAAGUAGCUGGGUAGCUCAGUGGAUUGAGAGUCUCUAGACAGAAGGUCCUAGGUUCAAGUCUGGCCUCAGACACUUCCCAGCUGCGUGACCCUGGGCAAGUCACUUGACCCCCAUUGCCUAGCCCUUACCACUCUUCUGCCUUGGAGCCAAUACACAGUAUUGGCUUCAAGACAGAAGGUAAAGGUUUAAAAAAAAAAAGAAACAAAAUUGGAAGAGAUUAGUUGAAGAAACAUCUUUAACAAGAGUUCCCCACACCUAUUAAUUUAUAGGUCUGAUUAAAAAAGUUUAAAAAAUAUCAUUAUCUAAGGUAGAGGCUCUUAGCCUCUUUUGUUUCAUAGUCUCCUUUGGCUU